UACGAAGGGUGCAAGCGUUACUCGGAAUUACUGGGCGUAAAGCGUGCGUAGGUGGUGAGUUAAGUCUGUCGUGAAAGCCCCGGGCUCAACCUGGGAAUGGCGAUGGAUACUGGCUCGCUAGAGUGCGGUAGAGGAGAGUGGAAUUCCCGGUGUAGCAGUGAAAUGCGUAGAGAUCGGGAGGAACAUCAGUUGCGAAGGCGGCUCUCUGGGCCGAUACUGACGCUGAGGAGCGAAAGCGUGGGGAGCGAACAGG
rnacentral:rRNA from 1 species